GGUCUCAUGGUCUAGUGGUUAGGACAUUGGACUCUGAAUCCAGUAACCCUUGUUCAAAUCUCGGUGAGACCU
rnacentral:tRNA from 1 species